rnacentral:rRNA from 1 species
AGCAGCCGCGGUAAUUCCAGCUCCAAUAGCGUAUAUUAAAGUUGUUGCAGUUAAAAAGCUCGUAGUUGAAUUUCGGGAUCAAAGAAUCGGUCAUACCUUGGUAUGUACUGGUUUUAUUGGUUCUCACCUUCUAAAGAACCAUGAUGUCAUUCAUUUGAUGUUAUGGGGAAUUAGGACUGUUACCUUGAAAAAAUUAGAGUGUUUAAAGCAAGCUUACGCUUGAAUACAUUAGCAUGGAAUAAUGAAAUAGGACAUCAGAUUCUAUUUUGUUGGUUUCUAGGAUCGAUGUAAUGAUUAAUAGGGAUAGUUGGGGGCAUUAGUAUUCAAUUGUCAGAGGUGAAAUUCUUGGAUUUAUUGAAGACUAACUACUGCGAAAGCAUUUUGCCAAGGAUGUUUUCAUUAAUCAAGAACGAAAGUUAGGGGAUCGAAGACGAUCAGAUACCGUCGUAGUCUUAACCAUAAACUAUGCCGACUAGGGAUCGGAUGAUGUUAAUUUUUUUCAAUGACUCAUUCGACACCU